AAGUCGUAACAAGGUUUCCGUAGGUGAACCUGCGGAAGGAUCAUUAAUGAAACUUCAAAGUCGGCUUGUUUCCUGUUCUAUGCUGGUGGGGAGACCCACAUGUGCACGUCGGGACGAGUCGCAAAUCCACACACACCUGUGCAUCUUAUGACUCUGAGUACCGCUUUGCGUGGCUCCUCACCGGGCCUGGUAUUCGAGUAACUUUUACACACUCUGAAUGUAAUGGAAUGUCUAUUGUGCAUAAUGUACAACUUAAAACAACUUUCAACAACGGAUCUCUUGGCUCUCGCAUCGAUGAAGAACGCAGCGAAAUGCGAUAAGUAAUGUGAAUUGCAGAAUUUAGUGAAUCAUCGAAUCUUUGAACGCACCUUGCACCCUUUGGUAUUCCGAAGGGUACACCCGUUUGAGUGUCAUUGUAAUCUCACCUCUUCGACUUUUUUUAUGGUCGAUCAGUGUGGACUUGGAUGUUGCUGUGUAACAAACGGCUCGUCUGAAAUGCCUUAGUGUACCCUGCUUUUGUGGCGUAUUCGGUGUGAUAAAUCUUCACCGGAGUUUUGACCUUUUGGUCAGCGCUUGUAUUGUAUGGCUCUAUGCUUCCAACCGUCCCUAACAAGGACAACUACUCUGACAAUUUGACCUCAAAUCGGGUGGGACUACCCGCUGAACUUAA
rnacentral:rRNA from 1 species